GAUGGCCUACGGGGCGCAGCAGUGAGGAAUAUUGGUCAAUGGGCGGAAGCCUGAACCAGCCACGUCGCGUGAGGGAAUAAGGCCCUACGGGCCGUAAACCUCUUUUGCCGGGGAGCAAGGGCGGGGACGUGUCCCGGCCCGGAGAGUACCCGGAGAAAAAGCAUCGGCUAACUCCGUGCCAGCAGCCGCGGUAAUACGGAGGAUGCGAGCGUUAUCCGGAUUUAUUGGGUUUAAAGGGUGCGUAGGCGGGCUUUUAAGUCAGCGGUAAAACUUCGGGGCUCAACCCCGUCCGGCCG
rnacentral:rRNA from 1 species